UGUCUGUCCAUUAGCAUUGCGACAUUAUGUUCAAUCGAUCAGGAGCAGUAACGGGACGUUAUGCAGCGGCGGAUUGAGAGAGCUCGGGACUUGUACUUGCUUGUUCCACUUAAUCCCUCUUGCAUUUUCCUUCAUGCUCUGUCUUGCUCCUAACCCAUUGCUUUCCCUCUAUUCUUCCAUUAAGUUAGUAAGUGGCCUCCUUCACAGCCCAGAAUAAUGUGACAUUUAGUAGGUAGGUAGUCCUUCUCCUACGCGAACCUUGUUUCAUAUGGCAGCCAAACCCACUCUGUCUUCAAGGAUAUCUUUAAAAAAAGGGAGCCACUACAAGCUUUAUAUACCACUCAAGUCCCACUUGGCACAGCUGAAGAAUUAGCUGAGACUUAAGCAGAUGGAGAAGUGACAUUCACCCAACAGCCCUUUUUGGCUGACAGAAGCGAGAGCUGCACAGUAGCCAUAAGCAUGAUGAAGAAUUCAGAAAGAAAAGAUACUCCACAUUUAGCUAAUACCACUCCUGAUGCCAUGAUCUCAGCUGGAUUUGCCAUUAGUCCGGUGGAUUAUUUGCUUUUAGACAACCUUCACUACUUAAACUGAACGGCUGCACACUUGGCCACAUCAAGGCCUCUACGCUAUUGUAACACUCAUUGGGGGACUUAAGCAACACAGAGAUGCUGAACUCAAUUUCCGAACAAGAUGAAUCCUACUCUAAAUAAUGACACUCUGGCUCUGAUGGAUUCCAAGUUGUGAAGUCUGUGUCACGCAAUCUAUUUCACUCAUUUUCGCCUAGGGAACCCCAUGUCCAUUCAUUUUAGGAGCUGUUCUGGCUAUUGGGUGUAUUUUCAUCACUGUUAAUUUUAUCUGAAACAGCAGCCGGAGUGUAGAGAAAAUGAGGGGAAAAAAGAGAAAAUGAAAAAUCAUAGAAACUGAUAUUCCAAACAUUUUGAAAGUAUUUCUUCUGAGAAAUGAUGAACAACUUCUUGAUGAAGCUGCUUUCUCUUUAAUUAUUCCAUUUCAGAGGCAAAGGAAGAAUCAAUAAUUUCUGUUGUAGUCUUCAACUUUCAUGCUUAAUGGCAAUAAGGCCUGUUUUUCUUUUAUACUUCGUACCAGAGUCAUUUCAGCUGAAAGAAGUGAGAUAUGCUAUGCUUUGAUAUUAAGUAUCCCUUGAAGGACUUGGAUACUCUAAAGAGCAGGAAGUUAAUCAUUUUUUGUCUCACAGCAGGGUGACUUUUUUAAUGUAUACUUUAGAUAAUACAGCAGUUCAGUGAUAAUAUGGGAGAUAUUGCAUUUCCUUCCUGAGGGUUUAUAUUAAAUGGCUAAACGUUUCUGGGCAAGCAAAGCCCGUUUUCAAAGUUUUUUCUCCUUCUCCUUUAUGGCAAUAUAUUUCUGCUCGAAGGGCUUUU
rnacentral:lncRNA from 1 species